rnacentral:rRNA from 1 species
GGUCAGGAUGAACGCUAGCGGCAGGCUUAAUACAUGCAAGUCGAACGGGAUUCAGGUAGCAAUACUUGAUGAGAGUGGCGCACGGGUGCGUAACACGUAUGCAACCUACCUUUAACUGGUGAAUAGCCCCGGGAAAUCGGGAUUAAUACACCAUAACAUUACAAGAGGGCAUCCUCUAAUAAUUAAAGAACUUCGGUUAAAGAUGGGCAUGCGGGACAUUAGCUAGUUGGUGAGGUAACGGCUCACCAAGGCAACGAUGUCUGGGGGUCCUGAGAGGGUUAUCCCCCACACUGGUACUGAGACACGGACCAGACUCCUACGGGAGGCAGCAGUAAGGAAUAUUGGUCAAUGGGCGCAAGCCUGAACCAGCCAUGCCGCGUGAAAAGGAAGACGGCGCUAUGCGUUAGUAAACUUCUUUUGUCAGGGAAUAAAUGUAGGUACGUGUACUUACUUGAAGGUACCUGAAGAAUAAGCAUCGGCUAACUCCGUGCCAGCAGCGGC